rnacentral:rRNA from 1 species
CUUUCUUUGCUGGCGACCGGCGCACGGGUGAGUAACACGUAUCCAACCUGCCCUUUACUCGGGGAUAGCCUUUCGAAAGAAAGAUUAAUACCCGAUAGCAUAAUGAUUCCGCAUGGUUUCAUUAUUAAAGGAUUCCGGUAAAGGAUGGGGAUGCGUUCCAUUAGGUUGUUGGUGGGGUAACGGCCCACCAAGGCGACGAUCGGUAGCCGGACUGAGAGGUUGAACGGCCACAUUGGGACUGAGACACGGCCCAG